rnacentral:ncRNA from 1 species
UUGUUGCGAUAGUAAUCCUGCUUAGUACGAGAGGAACAGGAGGUUCAGACAUUUGGUUCAUGGACUUGACCCAUAGAUCAAUGGUCCGAAGCUGACAUUUAGGGGGCUAUGACUGGACGCUUCUGAGUCAGAAUAAAGCAGUAA